rnacentral:piRNA from 1 species
UGCCUGCAAAUCUCUGAAGAGUUGUC